GAGGCGCUGUGGGCUGCUGGGCUCAGGCCUAGAGGCGCCCUUCAAAACGAACAGCCUGGGUGCUGUGGAGGGCACGUUGAUGGCAGCAAAAGGAAGACAGGCUACUGGACAGAAAGGGACGGGUCCCAGUGAAGCCCCACCUUCAAGCCAGGGAUGGCUUCAAUCCUGGAGGCCGCGCUGUCAGUUCCGGUCGGAGUCUGUGGCCUGGAGUGAGCACUAAUGGUUCUUUUUCCAGGCCCGCCCAUGGCCACCCAUGGACCAAUCAGCAUGCACUUCCUCCCUUCUGAACCCAUAAAAACCCCGCUCCCCGGACGCAGCCGGAGUCACGCGAAGUCGGAAGUACCAGCUGCGGGAAGGAGCUGCCCACUGUGCGUCUUCUCAACUUGUUGGGACAACCUUCCUGCGGAAAGGAGAGACAACCUUCCUGCAGAAAGGAGCUACCUGCUUCAGGUCUACUGAGAGCUGUUCUGCCACUCAAUAAAGCUCUUCUCCAUCUUGCUAAGCCUCCAUUUGUCCGCAAUACCUCAUCUCCCUGGACGCAGGACAAGAACUCAGGACCCGCCUGGAGGUACUAAAAGAGCUUUAACACAAACAGGGCUGAAACACGCUCCCUUGCUUGCCACAUUGCGGGUGACGAGAAGGAGAAAAGAGCUGUGUUCCUUUGAGGAUCCCAGACCUAGGGUCUCCCUGAGCCAGGGCUGUGACACUCCCUUUGGGGUUCUAUGGUUCCUGGCAUCUUCAAGCUUCCAGGCGCCACCACCUUCGUUCCCUUCAUCCAAACAGGUGCCCACAGCAGAAUCCACAUGCCGUCCAUCUGGUCCAGCCUCACGCAGAGCCACAACUGUGCUGGCGCCUGGAGCUGCCAGCCCCACUGCAGCAGCCGGACUGACAUUCAGACGUGGAGCAAGUUGGACUGCAUAGGGACCCACCAGUGAGAUGGACGCUGUCUGUAAACGGGGAAAUUUAUGGAAAGAUGUCCUCCUGCAACUGCUGAAAAUGCAACAUGCUGCCCAGGUCCUGCUCAGACCACUGACAACUCAGAAGUUAAUACUCAGAGUGGAAAGCGUAGCAAAGUGUAGUACAUGAGCAAGCGUUUCAAGCCAGACGGAGUUAAUCAUCUCUGUCACUGAAUUGGAGCUCACGGUCUGCUGGACAACUGUGCUGAGUGGAAAGGAAGCCUCGAUGGCUAAGUCACUUGUCCAACCUCAGACACUGGCAGAUCCAGGAUUCAAACAGCUAGACUCCAAAUGUGUUUCCUUUAACCUCUUUUCUACCUUUUCAACUUGAUUCCACACAUCACCACUGGGAAAGCUUAGAGUCCAACCUAUGACUACGUAGCCAAUAAAAGGGAAUGAAUCAUUGCAGGACAGUAUUUCCUGGCAUCGAGCUCUGUGCACCAGAGACCACGCUGCAAGCAGAUAGGAGCUGACUGACCUUAAGUGACUCUCAAUCUAAUAAAGUCAAGGCCAGAAAUUUUGGUCUAGCAACACUAAAGCCAGUGAUUUGGAAUUUCAGCUCACAGAUCCUGGAUCUUCUGCUUUGAAGAAAGUUUGGGCUUUGGCAGAAUCGGGUGCUAUUAGCCCAAAGAAUGAAGCUCAUGACUUAAGAGUUUCCAUCACGACUCUUGUCAGGGGAAGCAUUCUUUCCCAGGCACACCUCUCUUUGUCUCUGGGUUUCAGGAGCAAAAGUUCUGCAAGAGUCUCUAAGUUUUCUGCAAUGAUAUUGCUUACAAGAGAAUGACAGAGGAAGGAAGAAUGGGAGGAAAAUCAGAUAACUUCAAACCUCACUAUCUAGUACUGCUCAAUUCUACCUUGGUAACUGAAGCUGGACAUCCAUUAGUAUAUUUUCCAAAUAUGCUUUUGUUGACAAGACACAAAUUAAAAUGUGACUAUAAACUGGCAUGGGAAUCUGCACCUCAAUUUUAAUAGCAAGAAGAAAAACAAGGCGUUGAGCAAAUGAAAGAGCAUAAACACAAGGAAACAUAGGGGAAAAAACAACCCCGGGAAGAGCAUGGCAGAAAUAAUGGGACUCACCAGCAUCCAUUCCAGUCUCUAAGUCUAAACCAAUCAUAGCAGUUUCACCCGCUGUGUGUGACUGGUUCAGGAACGGGUCUCUAAUCCCAUUCUGACCUAAGAGACUGGAGUCUACCAGCCUGAGGGUGAAGAUGACUCCCAGGCUGGCAGAGCAGAGGCCUCUAAAAAGCAUGAUGGUAUCAGGAAAGCUCUGAUCAGCCACUGCAUUGUCUGCCCCUCUGUGAUGUAAAUAAUGCUUGCCAUCACUAUUUGAAGCCAAUUUGAGGUGUGUGUUCUGCUACUUACUACCCAACAUGCCUUAUUUGCACAAAUGGCCAUGCAGACUUCCUCUUCUUCACAAUUUUACCUAAGGAAUGAACUUAUUUUGCAAUCCUGUCACACUAGUAAUCUUUUCUUUUGAAAAAAGUGGGGUAUUGGUUACUCUGUCAUGAUGAUUUGUGCCCUAUUUUUUGUAUUUGUCCUUUUUCUUCAAUCUUGCAUAUGCAUCUUGUUAUGACAUUCCACCUCCUGAUUUUCUUAUGAUUGUUCAUUGCGCAUGGUAAAAACAUAACAGUAAUUUAUUGCCUGUAACUGAAGAAUUAUGUACAUAAAGCACACAUUAACAUGUUAACUUAUUAGGACUAAUAUAGUCAAUUAAAAUGGAAAUGUUCAUUUAUUCAAAGGAUCAUGUGUCAAUCUUGCUUUGGAAAAAAUACUGGCAUGAAAUCUAGCAAUAAAGAAACACACACACACAUACACAAAUAUUAACCACUUAAUUAGUGCAUUUAUAGUUUCCUUGACAAUCUUAAAAUUCUGAAUUACUUAGUAAAAUACAAAAAGUACAAAAAAUGUAAAAUUUACUUGUGUACCAGAAUUAACAAAUAUUAACAUUUUGCCAAUUUUUAUUUCAAGCACUUUCUAUUAAAAAAAUAGGAGAUUAAGGAUGAAGUUGAAGUUUAUUCCUCCCACAACUCGUUUCUCUAUUUUCCUUCCUAAAAGUAUCAUGAAGUUUUUAAAAAAUGUUUUAAUAUACACAUUCAUCCCAAUGAACAAAUUAUAAUA
rnacentral:lncRNA from 1 species